AACGCAAAUUGCACUCUCUGGUAUUCCGGAGAGUAUGCCUGUUUGAGGGUCAGUUAAAUAAAAAUCGGUGUCGUUGCUGCCUUGCGUGGUGACGCAUCGGAUUUGGGUCGUCUUACCUUCGGUUAAGUGACCUAAAAUUUUGCAUGAUUUUUCGAACGUAUUUAAAUUAUUUACGUACGUUUGUGAUAAUCGAACAUUAGGUGUGGUCAUUCUCAUGAUUCGCGCCUAUGAUUUCUCAUCAAAAUGACCUCAAAUCAGGUAAGAGUACCCGCUGAACUUAA
rnacentral:misc_RNA from 1 species